rnacentral:rRNA from 1 species
GACGAACGCUGGCGGCGUGCUUAACACAUGCAAGUCGAACGGAAAGGCCCUGCUUUUGUGGGGUGCUCGAGUGGCGAACGGGUGAGUAACACGUGAGUAACCUGCCCUUGACUUUGGGAUAACUUCAGGAAACUGGGGCUAAUACCGUAUAGGAGCUCCUGCUGCAGGGUGGGGGUUGGAAAUUUUCGGCGGUUGGGGAUGGACUCGCGGCUUAUCAGCUUGUUGGUGGGGUAGUGGCUUACCAAGGCUUUGACGGGUAGCCGGCCUGAGAGGGUGGCCGGCGACCAUAGGACUGAGAUACGGCGCAGACGCCUAUGGGAGGCAGCAGUGGGGAAUAUUGAACAAUGGGAGGAAGCCUGAGGAGGAAACGCCGGGUGCGGGAUGACGGCCUUCGGGUUGUAAAACGCUUUAGCCUGUGACGAAGCGUGAGUGACGGUAAUGGGUAAAGAAGCACCGGCUAACUACGUG